UUAGACGUAACCUCUGAUUGCUCCACUACCAACAAUCCGCCAGAGGACUACAAGUGAUAAACUUUAAACUCUAAGGACCUGACGGUGUCCCACCCGUACUAGAGGAGCCUGUCCUAUAAUCGACACUCCACGUUAUACCUCACCCCCCCUUGCCACCCCAAUCUAUAUACCGCCGUCGCCAGUUCACAAUGUGAGUGUACCACCGUGAGCAAAACCAUCAACCAUAAAAACGACAGGUCAAGGUGUAGUUUAUGGGGGGGGAAGUGAUGGGCUACAUUUUCUCCACUAGAAAAUACCAACCGCACCGUGAAACUUAUGCCCACAGGCGGAUUUAGAAGUAAGCUUGGCAAGACAUGCCAACCUGAAACCAGCCCUGGGACGC
rnacentral:rRNA from 1 species